AUUGAACGCUGGCGGCAUGCUUUACACAUGCAAGUCGAACGGCAGCGCGGGCUUCGGCCUGGCGGCGAGUGGCGAACGGGUGAGUAAUACAUCGGAACGUGCCCAGUAGUGGGGGAUAGCUCGGCGAAAGCCGGAUUAAUACCGCAUACGACCUGAGGGGGAAAGCGGGGGAUCUUCGGACCUCGCGCUAUUGGAGCGGCCGAUGGCAGAUUAGCUAGUUGGUGGGGUAAAGGCCUACCAAGGCGACGAUCUGUAGCUGGUCUUAGAGGACGACCAGCCACACUGGGACUGAGACACGGCCCAGACUCCUACGGGAGGCAGCAGUGGGGAAUUUUGGACAAUGGGCGAAAGCCUGAUCCAGCAAUGCCGCGUGUGUGAUGAAGGCCUUCGGGUUGUAAAGCACUUUUGGCGGGAACGAAAAGGACUGUGCCAAUACCACGGUUCGAUGACGGUACCCGCAGAAUAAGCACCGGCUAACUACGUG
rnacentral:rRNA from 1 species